CACAUGCAAGUCGAACGAUGAACCCCGCUUGCGGGGGGAUUAGUGGCGAACGGGUGAGUAACACGUGAGUAACCUGCCCUUAACUCUGGGAUAAGCCUUGGAAACGAGGUCUAAUACUGGAUAUUGACUUUACCUCGCAUGGGGUUUGGUUGAAAGAUUUAUUGGUUUUGGAUGGACUCGCGGCCUAUCAGCUUGUUGGUGAGGUAAUGGCUCACCAAGGCGACGACGGGUAGCCGGCCUGAGAGGGUGACCGGCCACACUGGGACUGAGACACGGCCCAGACUCCUACGGGAGGCAGCAGUGGGGAAUAUUGCACAAUGGGCGAAAGCCUGAUGCAGCGACGCCGCGUGAGGGAUGACGGCCUUCGGGUUGUAAACCUCUUUCAGUAGGGAACAAGGCCAGCAUUUUUGUUGGUUGAGGGUACUUGCAGAAGAAGCGCCGGCUAACUACGUGCCAGCAGCCGCGGUAAUACGUAGGGCGCAAGCGUUAUCCGGAAUUAUUGGGCGUAAAGAGCUCGUAGGCGGUUUGUCGCGUCUGCCGUGAAAGUCCGGGGCUCAACCCCGGAUCUGCGGUGGGUACGGGCAGACUAGAGUGAUGUAGGGGAGACUGGAAUUCCUGGUGUAGCGGUGAAAUGCGCAGAUAUCAGGAGGAACACCGAUGGCGAAGGCAGGUCUCUGGGCAUUAACUGACGCUGAGGAGCGAAAGCAUGGGGAGCGAACAGGAUUAGAUACCCUGGUAGUCCAUGCCGUAAACGUUGGGCACUAGGUGUGGGGGACAUUCCACGUUUUCCGCGCCGUAGCUAACGCAUUAAGUGCCCCGCCUGGGGAGUACGGCCGCAAGGCUAAAACUCAAAGGAAUUGACGGGGGCCCGCACAAGCGGCGGAGCAUGCGGAUUAAUUCGAUGCAACGCGAAGAACCUUACCAAGGCU
rnacentral:rRNA from 1 species